UACAGAGGUGGCAAGCGUUGUUCGGAAUUACUGGGCGUAAAGGGCUCGUAGGUGGCCAACUAAGUCGGACGUGAAAUCCCUCGGCUUAACCGGGGAACUGCGUCCGAUACUGAUGUGCUUGAGUAUGGGAGAGGUAAGCGGAAUUCCUGGUGUAGCGGUGAAAUGCGUAGAUAUCAGGAGGAACACCUGCGGUGUAGACGGCUUACUGGACCAUAACUGACGCUGAGGCACGAAAGCGUGGGUAGCAAACAGG
rnacentral:rRNA from 1 species